UUCAAUCGGCAUUCAACAAGCAAAAACCAGAAGCAAUUAUAGAAAAAACCAACACCGGUCUCCAACUCUAUUUGACACCUUUCAUUCCAAAUGAACACUCCAGUAUCCACACUCCUAAAUUUGAUUGAUUAAAGGGAUCGCAUAAUAAAAGGCUCCAAUAUCAAAAAAGCACAGCAAAAAUAGGUCCACAAGUACAGCAAAACUCAAAAAGCAUUGCUUAACAAAGAAAGCAAUCACAGUGACCAACUGAAUCACAAAUUGAGAGAAAUUUAACAAAUAAAAAAACACUUAAUAAAGAAAGCAGUUGCAACUUUGAUAUCUACCUUGUAAGAACGCUAGACCUUAAGGUACAUCACUAGCACUUCAACUUUGGAUCAAUUAUAGUUCACAAAUCUAAUUUAGAACAAAUAAAAAAACACUUAAUAAAGAAAGCAGUUGCAACUUUGAUAUCUACCUUGUAAGAACGCUAGACCUUAAGG
rnacentral:lncRNA from 1 species